GACGAACGCUGGCGGCGUGCUUAACACAUGCAAGUCGAACGGAAAGGCCCUGCUUUUGUGGGGUGCUCGAGUGGCGAACGGGUGGGUAACACGUGAGUAACCUGCCCUUGACUUUGGGAUAACUUCAGGAAACUGGGGCUAAUACCGGAUAGGAGCUCCUGCUGCAUGGUGGGGGUUGGAAAGUUUCGGCGGUUGGGGAUGGACUCGCGGCUUAUCAGCUUGUUGGUGGGGUAGUGGCUUACCAAGGCUUUGACGGGUAGCCGGCCUGAGAGGGUGACCGGCCACAUUGGGACUGAGAUACGGCCCAGACUCCUACGGGAGGCAGCAGCGGGGAAUAUUGCACAAUGGGCGGAAGCCUGAUGCAGCAACGCCGCGUGCGGGAUGACGGCCUUCGGGUUGUAAACCGCUUUCGCCUGUGACGAAGCGUGAGUGACGGUAAUGGGUAAAGAAGCACCGGCUAACUACGUG
rnacentral:rRNA from 1 species